CCUACGUGUGGCAGCAGUGAGGAAUAUUGGUCAAUGGGCGCGAGCCUGAACCAGCCAAGUAGCGUGAAGGAUGACUGCCCUACGGGUUGUAAACUUCUUUUAUAAAGGAAUAAAGUGAGGCACGUGUGCCUUUUUGUAUGUACUUUAUGAAUAAGGAUCGGCUAACUCCGUGCCAGCAGCCGCGGUAAUACGGAGGAUCCGAGCGUUAUCCGGAUUUAUUGGGUUUAAAGGGAGAGUAGAUGGGUUGUUAAGUCAGUUGUGAAAGUUUGCGGCUCAACCGUAAAAUUGCAAUUGUUACUGGCAGUCUUGAGUACAGUUGAGGUAGGCGGAAUUCGUGGUGUAGCGGUGAAAUGCUUAGAUAUCACGAAGAACUCCGAUUGCGAAGGCAGCUUACUAAACUGCCACUGACAUUGAUGCUCGAAAGUGUGGGUAUCAAACAGGAUUAGAUACCCCAGUAGUC
rnacentral:rRNA from 1 species